rnacentral:rRNA from 1 species
AUGCGUCGCCGCCUCCUCCUCGAUUCAGAUCGACACGCCGGCUCUCUCACCUUGCCGGCAGGUCCCUCCACCGUUGCUGCCCCCUCCUCCCCUGCCCCGGCCACCCUCCCUUCCGCCACCCCCGCCUGCUCUCCCUACUGCACCGCCGCCUCCGACACCAUGGCGGACGCCGACAGCAGCAGCAACCCGCUGCUCCCCGACUUCGACUUCCCGCCCUUCGACCGCGUCGAGCCCGCGCACGUCCGUCCCGGUAUCCGCGCGCUCCUCACCCGCCUCGGCGAGCUGGAGGAGCUCAAGAAGGGCGUGGAGCCGGCGUGGGAGUGCUUGGUCCACCCGCUCGAGCGCAUUGUCGAUAGGCUUGACAUCGUCCGGAACGGCGUCGACCACAUCAAGGCCGUCAAGGACUGGCCCGACCUCUGCGCCGCCGUCGAGGACGUCCAGACUAUGGGUCUAGAUCUGGCAGUUGAAAGUGCUUAA